rnacentral:tRNA from 2 species
AGCUUUGUGGCUUAGUUGGUUAAAGCGCCUGUCUAGUAAACAGGAGAUCCUGGGUCCAAAUCCCAGCAGUGCCU